UACGGAGGGUGCGAGCGUUAAUCGGAAUUACUGGGCGUAAAGCGUACGUAGGCGGUUGGGUAAGCCGGAUGUGAAAGCCCUGGGCUUAACCUGGGAACUGCAUUCGAUACUGCCCGGCUAGAGUAUGGGAGAGGGAAGCGGAAUUUCCGGUGUAGCGGUGAAAUGCGUAGAUAUCGGAAGGAACACCAAUGGCGAAGGCAGCUUCCUGGCCCAAUACUGACGCUCAGGUGCGAAAGCGUGGGGAUCAAACAGG
rnacentral:rRNA from 1 species